rnacentral:tRNA from 1 species
GCGGGCGUGGUGGAAUUGGUAGACACGCUAGACUUAGGAUCUAGUGCCGCGAGGUGUGGAGGUUCGAGUCCUCUCGCCCGCACCG